UACAGCCACAUCAUGUUGAAACACCGGUUCCCAUACGAUCACUGAAGUUAAGCAACGUCGAACCUGGUCAGUACCUAGAUUGGGAAUACCAGGUGCUGAAU